AAUGACUCGAUUUCUAGUGAUGUC
rnacentral:siRNA from 1 species